UGAAUGAUGCAUAAAAUACAAA
rnacentral:siRNA from 1 species